UGGGCGGCGACCGGCAAACGGGUGCGGAACACGUACGCAACCUACCCAAAACUGGGGAAUAGCCCGGGGAAACCCGGAUUAAUACCCCGUAACAUAUUGAGAAGGCAUCUUUUUAAUAUUAUAGCUCCGGCGGUUUUGGAUGGGCGUGCGGCUGAUUAGGUAGUUGGCGGAGUAAUAGCCCACCAAGCCUACGAUCAGUAACUGGUGUGAGAGCACGACCAGUCACACGGGCACUGAGACACGGGCCCG
rnacentral:rRNA from 1 species